GCUGGGUGUGGUGGUGCACACCUGUAAUCCCAGCUACUUGGGAGGCUGAGGUAGGAGAAACGCUUGAACCCAGGAGGCUGAGGUUGCAGUGAGUCGGGACUGUGCCACUGAACUCCAGCCUGGGAGACAGAGCGAGACUCCAUCUCAA
ensembl:misc_RNA Metazoa_SRP Metazoan signal recognition particle RNA